UACGUAGGGGGCAAGCGUUGUCCGGAAUCAUUGGGCGUAAAGCGCGUGUAGGCGGCCCGAUAAGUCCGCUGUGAAAGUCCAGGGCUCAACCCUGGGAUGCCGGUGGAUACUGUCGGGCUCGAGUCCGGAAGAGGCGAGUGGAAUUCCUGGUGUAGCGGUGAAAUGCGCAGAUAUCAGGAGGAACACCAAUGGCGAAGGCAGCUCGCUGGGACGUGACCGACGCUGAGACGCGAAAGCGUGGGGAGCAAACAGG
rnacentral:rRNA from 1 species